ACUGCAGCUGAACUUCUAUUUUAUGACUUGUGAUUAGGUUGGGGAUAUAUUUUUUUCCCCUAGCUUAGAAUGUUGAGACACAGAAACUGUCCCUGUUGUUAUAAGCCUAGCCUGGAUGGGAUGAUCUGAGAAAUGGAAAGCUGAGGGAAAGCAGCAGUUUAUAACCACAUGCCUUAUGUCAAGAGUAACUCUGCUGUUUCCUAUUUCUUCAGUAAGGACUCACGACUCCUGGCAGCUGCCUGGAAAGGAAGGGUUUUGUCUCAGGUACCCAAAUUCUCAUGAAGAGAGCACCCCUUCAAUCAAAGAAGAAGCACUGUGCAUUCACCAGGUCAUGUUUAAUUUGCUUCUACAUGUAUCCUGACAAAACAGGAUUGCUUCUCAGAAGCUCUUUUGAUAGCAGCCAAGAGAAAUCGAGACCACUACUAGCAUCUACAUAAGGGUGGAAAUUUGUGUUUGCCUCUUCUUCCCUACUUUUUAUGAAAUAAUGUUGGCUUUUUGGAAGCAUUUGCAAGCUCAGUAUGAAUGUCUGCAGAAGAAAGCCUACAUGUAUGCAGUCCAGUCAGCUUCUGUUUGGUAAAGGCAAAGAGUCCCCUCGCACAUAUGUCAUUCCCAACUCUAGGGGGUGGUACUCAUCUCCGUUUCAAAGCCGAAAAGCCAGCGCUGUCCGAAGACGUCUCCAUGGUCAUGUGGCCAGCAUGACUAAAUGCCAAAGGCGGAUGGAAUGUUGUUACCUUCCCACCAAAGGUGGUCCCUAUUUUUCUACUUGCAUUUUUUACGUGCUUUCAAACUACUAAGUUGGCAGAAACUGGGACAAAUAACGAGAGCUCAUCCUGUUACGCAGCACUAGGGAUUCAAACCGGUGAACUGCUGACCUUUCGAUCGACAAGCUCAGCGUCUUAGCCACUGAACCACCAUAUCCCCUUUUGGUCUGAGGAUACUCUUAAACUUUUUAUCCCCAAGGCUGAUGUUCUCUUCUUUCCUUCCUUCCAUUGAAUUUGAAUUUUGACAGUGAGAUUUUACAUGGGGAUUGGAGAUCUGCAUGCUGUCCAUGGACCUCUGCUCUGCAGACUAUAGAAAUAUGUAAAUGAUAACAGGAAAAGUUUGCCUGGAGUUUAUUACAGGCCAGAGAUUUUCAAAAGUGGAAUAUAGUGAAUGCAAAUGUACAACUAGUAUUAACAACUGUGCAUGAGAAGUAAAAGGCAAUAUGUCUGUCACUCAAGAGAGAAAUAGGAAAAGAGGACUUUGAAUUUAAAUUAGGAAAAUAAUAAAGACUGAAUUGUAUUUCCACAACUCAGUGGCUUUCAAUUGUUUGUAAUGUCUAUUUUCUAGAAUUACCA